UUGGAGGGCAAGUCUGGUGCCAGCAGCCGCGGUAAUUCCAGCUCCAAUAGCGUAUAUUAAAGUUGUUGCAGUUAAAAAGCUCGUAGUUGAAUUUCGAGAUCAAUUUGUCGGUCGUGCCUCGGUACGUACUGGCAUUAUUGAUUUCUCCCUUCUGAAGAACCGCGAUGUCAUUAAUUUGGUGUCGUGGGGAAUCAGGACUGUUACUUUGAAAAAAUUAGAGUGUUUAAAGCAGGCGCACGCUUGAAUACAUUAGCAUGGAAUAAUGAAAUAGGACGUUUGAUUCUAUUUUGUUGGUUUCUAGGAUUGACGUAAUGAUUAAUAGGGAUAGUUGGGGGCAUUAGUAUUCAAUUGUCAGAGGUGAAAUUCUUGGAUUUAUUGAAGACUAACUACUGCGAAAGCAUUUGCCAAGGAUGUUUUCAUUAAUCAAGAACGAAAGUUAGGGGAUCGAAGACGAUCAGAUACCGUCGUAGUCUUAACCAUAAACUAUGCCGACUAGGGAUCGGAUGAUGUUAAUUUUUUAAUGUCUCAUUCGGCGCCUUACGGGAAACCAAAGUGUUUGGGUUC
rnacentral:rRNA from 1 species